AUAGAAUUUUUCUUCUUCUCACACAGAUACAUCGAUCAGUUCUUCUUCUCAUACAGAUAUUCGACCACCAAACCUCACCCUACAUCACCUCACCUCACCUCAGCGCAGACCACCAACGUCGCUCGCCACCGCAACUGCCGCUCGCCACUGCUACCGUCACCGUCACCGUCAGACCACAGGUACUCUCUCCCUCUCGAUCUGUCUCUCUCUCACUCGCGGUUUCUUUCUCUUUGUUUCUCGCUCUGUCUACCUCGAUCACUCUCUCUCCCUCUCUGUCCCCCUUUCUAUAUUUCCCCUUUCUGAAUCUUGCUCUAGGGUUGUUAUGAUUUGUUCAAUUUAAAUUGGUAUUGAUUGCAAAAAAUGGGUUUGGUUGAAGUGGUCUAUUUCCCCCUUUCUGAAUUUAUUGUUUCCCUCUUGAUAUUUAAUGUUUUUUAUCAUCAAUUUCUACAUCUAGCUUUGAUAUAUAAUGCUUGUGUUUGUUAUUGAAUUAGAUUCUAGCUAUAAUAAUUUUCUUACUCUUUAGAAAUUGUUAUUUCACGGGUGAAGUAGACAUCAUCUUCAUUCCUUAUUGAAGCAGAUUUCUGCAGACAUUUUUUCUUAUGUAGUAAUUUUGACUGCACAAUUCUAUAGAGAGCUUAAGUGGUUAUUUGCAAAUCCUUGUGGUUGCAUAUAAAUAUACAUGAAUUGCUGUCAAUUGGUUUUCUUCCCUAUAUUCUAUUUGUGAAAUACUGAAGAUUGCAGAAAGAUAUGCAUGUCUGGGUUGGUUGAAAAUUAUUUCCUGUGUCAAAAUGACUACUGAAUGAAGGAAUUGGGCUUCCAGCUUCCUCAAAGAAAAGGUCAGUUGACUCAACUUGAUGACAAAGUCAUUUGCACCAUGUCAAUCGGGGUCAUUUUUUCAAAUUUCGUGAGUUUCUCCUCUGUUUUGCAGUAUGUCUAACAUGUUUGUUCAGUUAUAGAGAAUUGUAGAUAAAAAGAAUGAUUGUUAUUGUUUUGAUCUUUAAAUUUCAAUUGCUUAGUGCAUGAAUGUGAUACAAUUGGUAAUUUUCUUCUUUGGGUAGUACCAGUUGUACACAAGUAUUAUAAUUAGUUUUAUGAUUUAGCCGAUGCAUUAUAUGAUUUUAGUUUAUGAGCUUAUUUCAAAUCAUAUAUUACGCAUGAAUAGUACAGAUUUUGAGGUGAAAGAUUUUUAUUUAUAUUGCAUCUUUGAGUUACUUUACCACAGGUCUAUGUUUGAGGACAUGCCCACCAAUUGUUUGGUUAAAUUUCUCAAUGCCUAUUAUCAUGUCAAACUAUCCUAUUAAAUAAUGCUGGGUCAACACUUUUGGGGGCAUAAACGAAAAGCUACUAUGAAAGAUAAAGGUGGAAACAAAAGAGCUUAUACAAUGGAGGUUGAGGAAGAGGAAGAGGAGACAGAUGAUGAUGAUGAUGAUGAUGAGGAGGAGGAGGAUGAACUUGAAGCAAAAGCUUUGAGAAAGAAAACGGAAAAGGGGAAAGAUCUACUAUUAUAUGUAUUUUUGGUUGUAAUUCAUUUGAUUAGUAACUUACAUAUUUCAUGUUUAUUAUUAAACAGCACUUUGAGCCAUCAAAAGUUGGUAUUCUAGCUAGGUGCUUGUGCAUUCCGCUUGUUUCAAUUCGUGUUGGGAAGAUCAACAAGCAAGGGACUCUCAUGUGCCCAACUGGUACAAAGCUAGAACAGUGGAGCAGAUCGCGUGGUUCAUAAAUUACAACUUGGUUAAUGUGUAGAUGUUAUCCUGUAGAACUUGAAUGGAGGAAAGAUAGAACUUCCUUUUGGUAGCAGGAACUGUAUCAUGAGUUACAUGCCUUGGACAGAUUUGAACAAGAUUAUCGACGUAAGCAAUAGGAAGAGGACAACUGAAAUGCUUCUCAAAGAGUGUGUACUAUUAGGUGCUAUCCCAUUCUUUGCCGAUGUUGAGCGGCUGAAAGAUCUUGGUGUUGUGAAGUAAUCACCUUAACUGAGCCAUAUGAGACUUUGGUUCCAACAUCUCUAUAUCAAAUGAGUUUUCGUUUUUGUUUUGUUUUGUUUUUUUUUUUUUAACUUGUGCAUUUUUUUACAGCUUGGCAUGCUUUGUUAUCUGAAGUACAUCCAUUUAUUUUACUAAGUGCACUAAUUAAAGGCUGCUUUUAAAGUGCAUUCAUUCCCAGACUUAUUUGAGAAAGUAAUUCUUUUUGGCCUUUCACUCCAUCUGGAAUCUUGUUGGGUAUUUCUGAUUUGAUGGAAUGUGAGCUUUACCAUAUAAGUCUAAGGGGGAUAAUUUUUAUUUAUUUUUUAUUUUUUUUGAUUAGUUGUCUAACAUAUGAAUGUUAUGGAGAUGCAUAAACUAUUUUACGUAGAGGUUUGAACGCAGUUACCAGACGGAUGAUAUUGAGAUGCAUAAACAUCACAAACACUGAAAUAUGCACGUGGCUACCAAUUUGAAAACUACUUUGAAAUUUUCACUAUUCUAACGUACAGGCAUGAAAUUAACUCGAAAAAUGCACUUUUCUUACACUUAAGCUUGAAAAUAGGCCAUAUGAUGCCAAAAUCAUGUAACAAUCACGAGAAGGUCCGGGACACAUCUCAAACACCUUAAGAGGGACCAAUAUAAGUUAUGAAAACUUUCAAAACUAGCAUAGGACUCCCGGCUUGAAAACUAAGUUGAAAAAUGCACUUUUCUCACACAUAAGCUUGAAAAUCGGCCAUCAAGGGUCAAAAUCGUGUAACAAUCACGAGAAGGCCUGGGAAACGUCUCAAACACCUUGGGAGGGACCAAUGUAAGUUGUGGAAACUUACGAAAUUAGCACGGGAAUCUUGGUUUGAAAACUAAGUCGAAAAAUGCACUUUUCUCACACUUAAGCUUGAAAAUAGGCCAUAUGGGGCAAAAAUCGUGUAACAGCCACAAGACGGCCUGGGACAAACCUAAAACACCUCGAUAGGGACCAAUGUAAGUUGUGGAAACUUACGGAACUAGCUCGGGACUCCCGAUUUGAAAACUAAGUUGAAAAAUACACUUUUCUCACACUUAAGCUUGAAAAUAGGCCAUAUAGGGCCAAAAUCG